rnacentral:ncRNA from 1 species
ACAGCGGCUUGUAAAGCCUGGAGACUCUGGUUGUCCGUAGGACAACCUAGCUGUUCCUGAAAUGGAAUGGGAUAGAUUGAAAUCGGAGCCCAGGGUAAGCCGCUUU